UUUCCGUAGGUGAACCUGCGGAAGGAUCAUUACUGAGUUGUCGACACGAGUUGUUGCUGGUCCUCAAACAAGGGGGCAUGUGCACGCUCUGUUCACACAUCCACUCACACCUGUGCACCCUCUGUAGUUCUAUGGUCUGGGGGGGACAUAUCGUCCUCCCCCUGUGGUUCUACGUCUUUACACAUACACCGUAGCAAAGUCUCAUGGAAUGUGCAUAGCGUCUAACGCAAUACAAUACAACUUUCAGCAACGGAUCUCUUGGCUCUC
rnacentral:misc_RNA from 1 species